rnacentral:rRNA from 1 species
GGCUCAGAACGAACGCUGGCGGCGUGCUUACACAUGCAAGUCGGAUGCGAACGGGCUUUUCGGAGCGCAAGUAGCAUGGCAGACGGGUGAGGAGCACGUACCUGACCUGGCUCUUAAUGGGGGAUAGUCCUUCGAAAGAGGGUUGAAUACCGCAUACGCUCAGGAGGGCGACCUUCUGAGGAAAGCUGGCCUCUGCCGAUGCAGGCUGGUGUUGAGAGGGGGGGGUGCGGCCUAUUAGCUAGUUGGUAGGGUAAGAGCCUACCAAGGCGACGAUGGGUAGCUGGUCUGAGAGGAUGAUCAGNCACACUGGGACUGAGAGACGGGCCAGACUCCUACGGGAGGCAGCAGUGGGGAAUUUUGCGCAAUGGGGGCAACCCUGACGCAGCAACGCCGUGUGAGUGAGGACGCCUUUCGGGGUGUAAAGCUCUGUUAGCAGGGACGAACGUGUCGCGUAGAAGAUGCGCGGGCAUUGACGGUACCUGGUGAGGAAGCCCCGGGUAACUCCGUGCCAGCAGACAGCGGUAAGACGGAGGGGGCAAGCGUAGUUCGGAAUUACUGGGCGU